ACCCGCUGAACUUAAGCAUAUCAAUAAGCGGAGGAAAAGAAACCAACAGGGAUUGCCUUAGUAACGGCGAGUGAAGCGGCAAAAGCUCAGAUUUGAAAUCUAGCGUCAUAUUGGCGUUCGAGUUGUAAUCUGUAGAGAAGUUAUCGAGUGUGGAUAUGGCUUAAGUUCUUUGGAACAGGACGUCAUAGAGGGUGAGAACCCCGUAUACGGCCUUUGUCUUAUGCUCAUGUGAGGCUUCUUCGACGAGUCGAGUUGUUUGGGAAUGCAGCUCUAAAUGGGUGGUAAAUUCCAUCUAAGGCUAAAUACUGGCAAGAGACCGAUAGCGCACAAGUAGAGUGAUCGAAAGAUGAAAAGAACUCUGAACAGAGAGUUAAAUAGUACGUGAAAUUGUUGAAAGGGAAGCACUUGCUACCAGACUCGCUUGCAGUUAAUCAACUAUCAUUCUUGGUAGUGCACUUUUCUGUAGGUGGGCCAGCAUCAGUUGCGUCGGUGGGAUAAAGGCAGUUGGAAUGUGGCUCUCUUCGGAGAGUGUUAUAGCCUUCUGUGUAAUACCAUCUAAUGCGACUGAGGUCAGCGCUUUUGCGAGGAUGCUGGCAUAAUGGUCGU
rnacentral:rRNA from 1 species